rnacentral:rRNA from 1 species
GCGUGAGUGAUGAAGGCCUUCGGGUUGUAAAGCUCUUUUGUGGGGGACGAUGAUGACGGUACCCCACGAAUAAGCCCCGGCUAACUUCGUGCCAGCAGCCGCGGUAAUACGAAGGGGGCUAGCGUUGUUCGGAAUGACUGGGCGUAAAGGGUGCGUAGGCGGUUUAAUAAGUUUGGUGUGAAAGUCCUGGGCUCAACCUAGGGAUUGCACUGGAAACUAUUAGACUAGAGAUCGAGAGAGGAAAAUGGAAUUGCGAGUGUAGAGGUGAAAUUCGU